GACGAACGCUGGCGGCGUGCCUAAUACAUGCAAGUAGAACGCACAGUUUAUACCGUAGCUUGCUACACCAUAGACUGUGAGUUGCGAACGGGUGAGUAACGCGUAGGUAACCUGCCUGGUAGCGGGGGAUAACUAUUGGAAACGAUAGCUAAUACCGCAUAAUAUUAAUUAUUGCAUGAUAAUUAAUUGAAAGGUGCAAUUGCACCACUACCAGAUGGACCUGCGUUGUAUUAGCUAGUAGGUGAGGUAACGGCUCACCUAGGCGACGAUACAUAGCCGACCUGAGAGAGUGAUCGGCCACACUGGGACUGAGACACGGCCCAGACUCCUACGGGAGGCAGCAGUAGGGAAUCUUCGGCAAUGGACGAAAGUCUGACCGAGCAACGCCGCGUGAGUGAAGAAGGUUUUCGGAUCGUAAAGCUCUGUUGUAAGAGAAGAACGGGUGUGAGAGUGGAAAGUUCACACUGUGACGGUAUCUUACCAGAAAGGGACGGCUAACUACGU
rnacentral:rRNA from 1 species